GUACUCGCUUCGGCAGCACAUAUACUAAAAUUUGAAUGAUACAGAGAAGUUUGGUAUGGCUCCUGCGCAAGCGUGACAUGCAAAUUCAUGAAGCAUUCCAUAUUUUU
ensembl:snRNA U6 U6 spliceosomal RNA